rnacentral:rRNA from 1 species
UGGGGAAUAUUGCACAAUGGGCGCAAGCCUGAUGCAGCCAUGCCGCGUGUGUGAAGAAGGCCUUCGGGUUGUAAAGCACUUUCAGCGGGGAGGAAGGCGUUAAGGUUAAUAACCUUGGCGAUUGACGUUACCCGCAGAAGAAGCACCGGCUAACUCCGUGCCAGCAGCCGCGGUAAUACGGAGGGUGCAAGCGUUAAUCGGAAUUACUGGGUGUAAAGCGCACGCAGGCGGUCUGUCAAGUCGGAUGUGAAAUCCCCGGGCUCAACCUGGGAACUGCAUUCGAAACUGGCAGGCUAGAGUCUUGUAGAGGGGGGUAGAAUUCCAGGUGUAGCGGUGAAAUGCGUAGAGAUCUGGAGGAAUACCGGUGGCGAAGGCGGCCCCCUGGACAAAGACUGACGCUCAGGUGCGAAAGCGUGGGGAGCAAACAGG